rnacentral:rRNA from 1 species
AUUGAACGCUGGCGGCAGGCCUAACACAUGCAAGUCGAGCGGAGCGGCGGACGGGUGAGUAAUGCCUAGGCAUCUGCCUGGUAGUGGGGGCUAACGUCCGGAACCGGGCGCUAAUACAGCAUACUAUCAGAUUAGCCUAGGUCGGAUUAGCUAGUUGUUGUGGUAAAGGCCUACCAAGGCGACGAUCCGUACAUGGUCUGAGAGGAUGAUCAGUCAAACUGGAACGGAGACACGGUCCAGACUCCUACGGUAGGCAGCAGUGGGGAAUAUGGGACAAUGGGCGAAAGCCUGAUCCAGCCAUGCCGCGUGUGUGAAGAAGGUCUUCGGAUUGUAAAGCACUUUAAGUUGGGAGGCGUUACCAACAGAAUAAGCACCGGCUAACUUCGUGCCAGCAGCCGCGGUAAUUC